GGCGCUGUGGUUUAGUUGGUUAAACCGCCUGGAAAACAACCUGGGUUUGAAUCCCAGCAGUGCCC
rnacentral:tRNA from 1 species